rnacentral:rRNA from 1 species
CUACGGGAUGCUGCAGUGAGGAAUAUUGCACAAUGGGGGGAACCCUGAUGCAGCAACGCCGCGUGGAGGAUGACGCAUUUCGGUGUGUAAACUCCUUUUAUAUGUCAAGAAAAUGACGGUAGCAUAUGAAUAAGCACCGGCUAACUCCGUGCCAGCAGCCGCGGUAAUACGGAGGGUGCAAGCGUUACUCGGAAUCACUGGGCGUAAAGGACGCGUAGGCGGGUUGGAAAGUCAGGUGUGAAGUCCUACAGCUUAACUGUAGAACUGCACUUGAAACUUCUAAUCUAGAGUAUGGGAGGGGGAGAUGGAAUUAGUGGUGUAGGGGUAAAAUCCGUAGAUAUCACUAGGAAUACCUAAAGCGAAGGCGAUCCCCUGGAACAUUACUGACGCUAAGGCGUGAAAGCGUGGGGAGCAAACAGGAUUAGAUACCCGUGUAGUC